GGUUAUUUUAAUAGCAGUUCACCAAAUCCAGCCACAUUUGGGUAGCUUUUUAAAAAUCUCAACAUGCUGUUAACGUGCCUAUUGAAGGACCCGGAGUAAUAUUGCCAGCUGGGUGACAGAUGUUUGGUCACGUCCUUCCAACCCCUGCCACAUUUGGUGACUGACAGGACACAGGAUAUGCCUUUGCUGGGAUAGGAUCAGCAUUCCUCCAUGAGUUUUCCGCCGGCUCUUGCUAGCAGCACAGAUUCAGGGAAUUUUGCUCAGACAAACGAAGGAUAUGAUUUCCGUGUUACGCGUUGGUAUGACGUACUGGUGGCAGCUGCUUUACUGGGAAGCAGGACAGUCAUGCUCCCCGGCUCCCUCCCCUUCCCUGGUCCCUGCACGUCCCUCGCUGCCCUUGCAUCUGAUUUAGCAGCUGUGCAGCUGUUGUGGAGAUGGAUGAGCAAGCUGGUUGGAUCACCUGGAUACCUACUGACGCUAAUCAGCCUUGUUGGGAGGUUCAAGGUUCAAUUAUGACCUGAAAAUAAUUCUAGUACAUUGGCAAUGUGACCUGAUCUGAGUCAUUGGCAUAAUGCAAACGGGCAAAAGUGUAAAUGGAUAAAACUGCUCAGCACCGUCGUUUUCCAAAAGCAGCUUAGCUGAUUGCCAAACAGAACUAGAAAAGCAGUCAUGGAAAUUCAUACCUUCCAGCAGUACAUCUUCAUGGAUUUAGUGGCUUUCCAGUGAUGAGUGCAGUUUCCAGGGAGUAAGUCAGCUACGUCAGAUGUCUUUUUUUCUCCGUCAUCUUUUUACAAAGAAAGAAACAGAUACGACCUCGUACACUGAAAGCUGGAUCCGAGGGACAGAAAAUAACGUCUGUGAUUAGGAGUACAAAGGCUUGGAAAAUGCAGAGGAAGAAACAAGAAAACCCUAGAGCUCCUGGUUUGGGAUCUAUCUGCAAUGCACUGAUGGAUGCUGACAGCAUGUAGGCACUCGGUUACAAUGAACACCCACUGCCACCGAGAUGACUGCAAGAAAUAAAAACACCUCAACCAACUGAAAGGUCUAUUUGUUCUCAUCAUACAAAGUCCUUGUCACAAGCAAGGUUUUGUCUGAGUAAAGAUUUUGUAAUACAAUCUUCCGGCUGUUCUACAGGAUUAACUUUCGCUCUGAUUUAAUGUAAAUAACAAGAUCUGGAGAGAAGAUGACACUUCAACAUGACAAUUUCUUGGAUUUUUGUUCAGCUCCUGAGGCACCCACUUCUUGAGAUUUUUUCACCUUUCCAACCCGUUUCAACUGCCGAAUGACCAUAGAAUGGUUGACAUUGAGUUCUUCGGUGACUUCUCAUUAAGUAAGAGGAUCAGCUUUGAUGAUUACUUUUAAUUGGUUGUUGUCAACUUCUGAUGGCCAACCACUAUGCUCCUCAUCUUCAAGGCUCUCAUCUCCUUUGUGAAACUUCUGGUACAACCACUGCACUGUAUGUUUGUUAGCAGAUCCUGGGCCAAAUGCAUUGUUGAUAUUGUGAGUUGUCUCUGACAACUGUAUGACUCAUUUUGAACUUGAAUAAGAAAAUAGCUUGAAUUUGCUUUUUGUCUAACAUAAUUUCCAUAGUCUAAAAUAAAUACAAAAUUAACAGUAGCAAAAAAAAAAAAAUAAUCCAGAAAAGAGCAUUAAAAUUAUGUAUAACAUAAUCACAUUUAAGAACGUAUUCCAAUAUCAAACAGCAAAUUUUAUCAGUGCAAAAAAUGCAAUGCCUUCUGCACCAACCUGAUAGUACUUUCACCUCAUCCUGUAAAAAUCUGAUUAAAAAAGAAAUUUGAAAAAAAAAAGCUCUAUAUAGGAUCUUUCUCUCUAGCCUUCAAAAGGAAAGCAAUAUCACAUUAGCAAAGCAGAAAAUGGAAGUAUAGUGGGGAGAAGAGACUUCUGCUUCAAAGUAGGGGCAAAAUCAACAAAUGCAAGCUUUUCAAGAGAACCUCAUUCUUGAAAGGAUGAAUAACAGUUAAACUGAGUUUCAUUUUAGUCUUCUGUGUUUGGGCAAAACGUUUGAGGCAAUCUGAAUGCAAUCUUUACAGACGCAAAGUUCAUAGACAUGACUGUCUGCAGAAAUGUGUAACAAGGUCAGUUACAUUUACUUUUGCACACAGAUGGAAAUUAUUCCCAUAUGUAUUUACUGGGCUCCUUGACAAUGUUAUGGAAUAGAUUUGGUCAGUCAGAAGAUCAUUCAGUGUGGUUCAUUGUAUCAUAUGCUUUCCUCAUAUCCAUUGCAAAAUAGAUUGACGUUUCUGGAUUAAAUAUUUGAAGACAGUGAAUUCCUUCAAAGAACCGUACUCAAUCACUUCCAGCAGUCCUCAGUGAUCGUGUUCUCACUGCAGCUCUCAUUACUUCUAUUUUCUGUCAGAUAGGAACGGAAGAUAAAACUGUAUCAAAUGAUGGAAUGUGGUUUAUUAUUUCAGCUGUCAUUCAGACAAAAUGAACAAUGCUGACAUUGACCUUCAAGCUAAGCAAGACUUGGUUAAACGUCUAGACGCAUCCACUGAACUUCACAUCUUUUGAUAAGAGGACAACAAAACGCCUGAAGCACUGGAGUUUCUGCACUCAGUAAUUAUCAUAGAAGAGAAAUAUUAAAAUAUUUGACCAAAAUGGUAUAGAGAUAGUUUACCUUGCAAUUUGGCUGAAAGCUUUACAUUCUAUUAAUGAGGGUCAAAUCUUUCUGUGUGUUGCCAUGGACAUACAGGAUUUAGGGGUGUAACAGAACAGGAUUUGUGCCACUUGCAAUAAAUUAUGACCAAGAGUCAUUUCUUCUAAAGCAGGCUUCAUUUUAAGUAAAAAAUUUUAAAAUAAAUAGAUAAAACCACCACCAAAACCAAUCCUGGCAGCUACACACUAAAGCAUUCACUAAACACUUUACCUCCAACACACUGACACCAAGCGAACCCAAGAAAUUUCUGGACAAAGACUUUUUUUUCACCUGACCAGUAUUGAGGUAUAUAGCUCUUUUCCUCUGCUUGGAUCUGAUAGCAACUUAGUUCCCAAGGUGUUUCUUGAAGUGGGUUCAGCUAUUCACAUCAAAGUAUUUUAAGUAUCUGUCUUUGAUUUAUUGUUGCAAGAAGCAAGACUGCCAAACCUUAAGGCUUUUGCACAUUGUGGGAACACAUCAGGCCCUGAAAGCUUUGUCCACAGACCCCACAAUAACUAUGACUCAUGAAAUGCUAUUAUUUUCUCAGUAUGCAAUAAAAAAGUAUUAUUUAUAGCAUCAUACAAACUAUUAAGAAACUUUUUUCUUUGAAGGGAAUAAUAAUUUGGAUAAAUCGUAGUAUUUACAGUUUGAAUUGGGGCCAUACCUCAUUUCUUGGCAAAAUACAUGGUUAUGAUGAAGGAUCCCAAGUCCCCAAAAUAAUUCUGACAGUCAUAAGUUUGCUGAGGUCUAAUAUCUGAUUGGUUUUGGAUCAGAAGUGACUUGAGCACCAAAGUAAUUUUAAGAACAUGAACAGUGGAACAGUUUUCUUGCCUUAGGGCUCUCACUCUUGUGCCUCAUGCUGGGUCUUUACAUAUAUCCUCAAAAAGGUCUUACAGCUCUCAGAAAGUGCUUUGGGUAGGAUUUGUCAAAAGUUUUCAGCAGAGGCUCAUCUGUUCCUGCCCAAGUUUGUGGCAAGAGCCCAGUAAAACCCCCUGCAGCAGAGAGUUACAACGAGUUGUACGUUACAUGACCAUUACUGCUGUUAUCAGUUGUGCUCCGAGAAUGUCAGUCACAGAAGAAAUAGCUCAUCAGUGUUCAUUUUGGCCCAGACUAAAGAUAUAACAAAAUCUUCCCAAAGAUGACAUUUGAGGCACAAUCAGUUGUAACAAAAUGUUCUAGAAUGGCACUAGGUUUAUGACAGAGAGUUUUUCUCUGUACAAAAUACUCUUUUUCUGAAGCUGAUUACAAAGAGGACCAGGAAGCAUAGUCUUACUGAAAAUCAGAGGGAAUCGGUUGGUUUGCAUGUAGCAAUCAGAGAAGAUAUGUAUGCACAGUUCCAAAUACUGUGGCACCUUGUAAAUUAGGCUAUAAUAUGCAGCCAAAAAAUCAUGAAUGUUUAAAGCCAGGCUCAAAUACUUUCAUUUCAAACCUACUCUAUUUAGGUUAAAGUCUGUUUCUUAUGCCUUCAGCCCUGUACCAGUUUCAAGUCUAGUAAUAGUUAUGUAAAACUCAAAUAAGAAAAAAUCCUCAGUACAUGCAAAAAAACCCCACUCCAUGUGAACUGGAAUAUGGUGACGAUCUAUUCAGAAGCAGACACCAGAAAAUGGAUGAGACACAUGACAGAACACACGUGAAGAACCUUGUACACACUCUUUAGCACCUUUGUUCAUCUCCCAUGAUCUUGUAGUCUGCAUAAGACAGGAGCCCUCAACAAUAGCCCUGCUAUGGAAAUAACACUAGUUUUAUUCAUGGUGCAAAAGGUAUUUUCCUGCAGCUUUUCAUUCUGCAACACAACUUUAAAAAAUGAAAAAAAAAAAAAAAAAGUAGUAAAAGUGUUUAGAUAAAAGAUUUAAAAAUAUGAGUAAUUUCAUUUUUGUUUUCCCUCCUUCCUGGGACAGUGUGGAUUUAUACAACAUUCAUAGACCCUGGCAACAGGUUGCUUUUCCCUUUAUGAACAGAAUAUUGCUAUAACAUUUUGUAUUUCUUGUAUUUUCAUUCAAAGCGAUGAUACAGGAAUCAAGUGCAAUAAAAAGCUGUUGCUAAAUCAUACACUGAAACACAACCCGGGCUGAAGGAACAACUGUCACACUUUGCGCACAAUUCAGAAGGGCAUCUGAGUUCCUGCUGUCACCAGAAGUUGUAUUUUAAUCGCUACAGAACAUGAUAUGCCAGAGAUAAGUAUGCAAAAGCUGCAAAACAGCCAGUAUUUUUCCUCAGGUCAUGUCAGGGAAAAAGUACUAUAGUUUCUUUUCUGCCUAUCUGAGUUCACGCCAACGUACUCAGAAAGCUGUCGUCUGGCCUUUCUGUGCCUGUGAUAUAUUGCAUCAAUCUCCCAGUUCCCACAAGUUCAUUUUUAAAGAGCUUCUGUUCAUUUAUGUCUGCCUCGUAAAAGAUCUCUUGUGUUGUUUUUCUCCCCACCCCCUUCAAGAUUAAUAAACACUCUGCUAAGAAAAGGCUUUAGCAUCAAUCAGAUUUCAUAACUGAUUAGACGUGAGAUACUCUGGCUGCAUUUGCAAUGGGCCUCUUUCAACUGUUUUUGCUUCUAAAAUUAGCUUAGCUAUUUCCUGAGAGAAGUCUCAGGAUAGAAGUAGACACCCACAACACAGUACAUCUGAGCUGUGUCAGACAGCACACUGAAAAGCUCAUCAGACUGCCCAAGAAAACCAAGAAACUCCUCACCUCCCCCUCCAUCAGGAGGGGCCAUGGAAGCCCCAGGCUGCAGAACCCAGCCUGGAGGUCUGUAUUUGGGAGACUGAAUGCCUGAUGCAACAAGGGAAAGCCAGAAACAGAUGCUGAGGACAAAACACUGCUCAUUAACUUAUAAAAUCAGAGGUCCCAUUAUUAUUGACAUCAGGACUUGUUCUCACUUUGCUGCUGAGCAGCCAACACGCCACAUCUGCCAACAGCAAGAUCUACAUUUCCCCAAAUGCCCUGGGUGCAUUGCUGCAGCCACCUGAAAAGCGAAGGCAGUAGUUCAUCGAAAUGUUUCCUGCCUCAUGCAUAAAAAGAUGUCCUCCUCAGUUUUUCAGGAGUUGUUGAGUUCAGCCAAUUUACUGAGUUCUGUGAAAUUCAGCAGAGUAAAUUUUAGAGCAAAGGACAAAAGUCCUGAUAUCCACAUUGUAAAUAACAUAUACAUGUCAGAAUCUGUGCAGGUCCUAUUUAUACAAGUUUACACCCUUCUGACAGUAGGAAAAAGAUUGGACCCUGAUAAAAAUAGGUUACAGUUACUUUUGCAAGACACAUAUCUUCUCCUUAGCUCAAGUUUGCUUUGUCCGACUGGCCAGCCCAUAUUAUGAAAUAAGAGACAAGCAUUUGCUUGAGGUCAUGGUGCAGUGAGUCUCAAGCAAGAGAUUUAACGUGAGACCUUUUUUUUUUUUAAAUGAAGAACUGACAAAACCAUGUCCUGUUAAGAGCAGCUCUGAAAUGGCAGGCUGAGGAUGGAAAUUUUUUAGUUAGAUGCAGUUUCUAACAAUGACUCAUUAGAAGAACAAGAAUCAGACACUGACUGCUUUUAAAGUUCUGCUCUACCAGUACUUAAAAAAAAAUAAAGUUGUAACAGAUUGGAGGUAUGCCUAAUAUGAGCAUGUGGUUUCUUAUUUAACAUGGACUGUAUAAAUAGAAAAGAUCCACAGUUACUGAAUGAAACCAGCAUUAAAAAACCACCAGACACAGCACAAGUUUCUAGGGAACUAAUACUAUAAAUCCUAAGCAUUCCCUUCAAGUAAGAUAACUUGGCAAGAAUGUGAGUAGUACCUACAGGUUUUUAGACAAGGUUUGGUAUGAGAGGAAGAGGCACAAUGAGAUCUCAUGUUCUUUUGUUUGUUUCUUUUCCCUGACAUCUUUAUACCAUAAUCAAAAGACUGAGUUUCAACUUCCAGGAUUUUUUGUUUUGAGUUCAAAACUAAGAGAAAAGAAGAGAGCAUUUAUUUGUAGUUGUCACUGUCUCUAUGCACCUGAGGUUCAAUUUAUGCAAACUAAUAUUGACGUGCAAGCACAUGUAACAGUCAAAACUGGUUAAAAAAACCCAACCAACCAAUCAACCAACAACCCCAAAACAAAAGAAAACGAAAAAAAACAAACCAACCAACCAAAAAAAAUUAAAACAAACCAAAAACAAAAAACCAAAACCACUCACACCUACAUAUCCAUGUAGGAAUAUGCAAUACUCACUUCUGAUCUUCUGCCUGCAUUUGUUAGCCCAAAAUGGCGGAGGAGGAAACAAAACCCAGCAACAAAUGCCAAAACAUUUUGCCUUCAGGAGCUUCGUUAGAUUACAUAAAUAUGUGAUAAACAGUGCUGCUGCAAACUUAUUUUGUGUCACUGAUAGCAGAAGUGACAAGCCAGCUAAUGCCAUUUGAGACUCUUGCACUCUAUUGUUAACUUUUCUUUUAUCCUGUAUCUUUUUAGCCAUACCUAUAAUGGCAUAACUGGAGCCAUUCAGAGGCUCCACUGCACAAUCAGCUACAUUGGAAGGAUUCCUUUUACAUGCACUUAUUCAAAUUUAACUUUAGAAAGUAGUUUCUUCUAGAAUCUUCU